rnacentral:tRNA from 1 species
GCCCCGGUGGCUCAGCCUGGUAGAGCGCCUGCUUGGUAAGCAGGAAGUCGCGGGUUCGGAUCCCGCCCGGGGCU